GACGAACCGUGCAAACGUUAUUCGGAAUCACUGGGCUUAAAGGGCGCGUAGGCGGUCGAUCAAGUCAGGGGUGAAAUCCUGCAGCUUAACUGUAGAAGUGCCUUUGAUACUGGUCGUCUCGAGGGAGGUAGGGGUGUGUGGAACUUCCAGUGGAGCGGUGAAAUGCGUUGAUAUUGGAAGGAACGCCGGAGGCGAAAGCGACGCACUGGACCUCUUCUGACGCUGAGGCGCGAAAGCUAGGGGAGCAAACGGG
rnacentral:rRNA from 1 species